AGAGUUUGAUCCUGGCUCAGAGCGAACGCUGGCGGCAGGCCUAACACAUGCAAGUCGAACGCACCGCAAGGUGAGUGGCAGACGGGUGAGUAACGCGUGGGAACGUACCCUUCAGUUUGGGAUAACCCAGGGAAACUUGGGCUAAUACCGGAUACGCCCUUUGGGGGAAAGAUUUAUCGCUGAAGGAUCGGCCCGCGUCUGAUUAGCUAGUUGGUGAGGUAAUGGCUCACCAAGGCGACGAUCAGUAGCUGGUCUGAGAGGAUGAUCAGCCACACUGGGACUGAGACACGGCCCAGACUCCUACGGGAGGCAGCAGUGGGGAAUAUUGGACAAUGGGCGCAAGCCUGAUCCAGCCAUGCCGCGUGAGUGAUGAAGGCCUUAGGGUUGUAAAGCUCUUUCACCCACGACGAUAAUGACGGUAGUGGGAGAAGAAGCCCCGGCUAACUUCGUGCCAGCAGCCGCGGUAAUACGAAGGGGGCUAGCGUUGCUCGGAAUCACUGGGCGUAAAGGGCGCGUAGGCGGCCGGACAAGUCAGGGGUGAAAGCCUGUGGCUCAACCACAGAAUUGCCUUUGAUACUGUUUGGCUCGAGACCGGAAGAGGUUGGUGGAACUGCGAGUGUAGAGGUGAAAUUCGUAGAUAUUCGCAAGAACACCGGUGGCGAAGGCGGCCAACUGGUCCGGUUCUGACGCUGAGGCGCGAAAGCGUGGGGAGCAAACAGGAUUAGAUACCCCCGUAGUCC
rnacentral:rRNA from 1 species